rnacentral:rRNA from 1 species
AACGAACGCUGGCGGCGUGCUUAACACAUGCAAGUCGAACGAAGCAUUUAGAACAGAUUAUUUCGGUAUGAAGUUCUUUAUGGCUGAGUGGCGGACGGGUGAGUAACGCGUGGGUAACCUGCCUUGUACUGGGGGAUAGCAGCUGGAAACGGCUGGUAAUACCGCAUAAGCGCACAAUGUUGCAUGACAUGGUGUGAAAAACUCCGGUGGUAUAAGAUGGACCCGCGUCUGAUUAGCUAGUUGGUGAGAUAACAGCCCACCAAGGCGACGAUCAGUAGCCGACCUGAGAGGGUGACCGGCCACAUUGGGACUGAGACACGGCCCAGACUCCUACGGGAGGCAGCAGUGGGGAAUAUUGCACAAUGGAGGAAACUCUGAUGCAGCGACGCCGCGUGAGUGAAGAAGUAAUUCGUUAUGUAAAGCUCUAUCAGCAGGGAAGAUAGUGACGGUACCUGACUAAGAAGCUCCGGCUAAAUACGUGCCAGCCGCUGCGGUAA